rnacentral:rRNA from 1 species
AGUUUGAUCAUGGCUCAGAUUGAACGCUGGCGGCAUGCUUUACACAUGCAAGUCGAACGGCAGCGGGGGCUUCGGCCUGCCGGCGAGUGGCGAACGGGUGAGUAAUACAUCGGAACGUGUCCUUAAGUGGGGAAUAACGCAUCGAAAGAUGUGCUAAUACCGCAUAUCUCUCAGGAGGAAAGCAGGGGAUCGAAAGACCUUGCGCUAAAGGAGCGGCUGAUGUCUGAUUAGCUAGUUGGUGGGGUAAAGGCUUACCAAGGCAACGAUCAGUAGCUGGUCUGAGAGGACGACCAGCCACACUGGGACUGAGACACGGCCCAGACUCCUACGGGAGGCAGCAGUGGGGAAUUUUGGACAAUGGGCGAAAGCCUGAUCCAGCCAUGCCGCGUGAGUGAAGAAGGCCUUCGGGUUGUAAAGCUCUUUUAGUCGGAAAGAAAGAGUCAUAGUAAAUAGCUAUGAUUUAUGACGGUACCGACAGAAAAAGCACCGGCUAACUACGUGCCAGCAGCCGCGGUAAUACGUAGGGUGCGAGCGUUAAUCGGAAUUACUGGGCGUAAAGGGUGCGCAGGCGGCCUUGUAAGUCAGAUGUGAAAGCCCCGGGCUUAACCUGGGAAUUGCGUUUGAAACUACAAAACUAGAGUGCAGCAGAGGGGAGUGGAAUUCCAUGUGUAGCAGUGAAAUGCGUAGAGAUGUGGAAGAACACCGAUGGCGAAGGCAGCUCCCUGGGUUGACACUGACGCUCAUGCAC